rnacentral:rRNA from 1 species
CUACGGAGGGGGCUAGCGUUGUUCGGAAUUACUGGGCGUAAAGCGUACGUAGGCGGACUGAUCAGUUGGGGGUGAAAUCCCAGGGCUUAACCCUGGAACUGCCUUCAAUACUGUCAGUCUUGAGAUUGGAAGAGGUGAGUGGAAUUCCUAGUGUAGAGGUGAAAUUCAUAGAUAUUAGGAGGAACACCAGUGGCGAAGGCGGCUCACUGGUCCAAUACUGACGCUGAGGUACGAAAGCGUGGGGAGCAAACAGGAUUAGAUACCCUAGUAGUCC